GCCCACAGGUGACACAUUGGGGCAGUGCAUCUGGCUGUUAACCAAAAGGUUGGUGGUUCGAGCCCACUGAGGGACA